rnacentral:rRNA from 1 species
AUUGAACGCUGGCGGCAUGCUUUACACAUGCAAGUCGAACGGUAACAGGCCGCAAGGUGCUGACGAGUGGCGAACGGGUGAGUAAUGCAUCGGAACGUGCCCAGUCGUGGGGGAUAACGCAGCGAAAGCUGUGCUAAUACCGCAUACGAUCUAUGGAUGAAAGCGGGGGACCGUAAGGCCUCGCGCGAUUGGAGCGGCCGAUGUCAGAUUAGGUAGUUGGUGGGGUAAAGGCCUACCAAGCCGACGAUCUGUAGCUGGUCUGAGAGGACGACCAGCCACACUGGGACUGAGACACGGCCCAGACUCCUACGGGAGGCAGCAGUGGGGAAUUUUGGACAAUGGGCGCAAGCCUGAUCCAGCAAUGCCGCGUGCAGGAAGAAGGCCUUCGGGUUGUAAACUGCUUUUGUACGGAACGAAACGCCCUGGGUUAAUACCCUGGGCUAAUGACGGUACCGUAAGAAUAAGCACCGGCUAACUUCGUGCCAGCAGCCGCAGUAAUAC